rnacentral:lncRNA from 1 species
UAUCUAGAAAGUGGUAAUUCAGUUCAUUAACCCACUUAUAAAAUCAAUAUAUCACGCAGGGAGCUGAACAAAACUUGGCAGCUGUGCCUAUAUCCCCUUUGCACCUGAGGGAAGCCUGACUGAAAGAAUCAGAGCCUCUUCACUCUGCCUGUGGCAGCGUGCAGCAGCCACGGACCCUCACCAGGAUCUGCAGAGCAAGCCUUGCCUCCUAAGUUAGCUCUUGGAAACUUUUGUGCAUAGGAUGUCCAGCUGCAGGAGGCUUUUUCUUUAGUGGAAGUGGAGGUUCGCAUAGAAAUAGGUUGAUCUUCCUGAGUCCCCGGUGGCACAGGUCCCAGAGCCCUGGGUUACUUAGGGUCAGUCGUCCUGGUGGUUGCAGUCAUGACGGAGUGGUAAAUCCACUAUUGAUUCUCAGAUAUUUCAUCUACUUUCUUUUGUAUUAGUAAUAAGAUUAAAAAAAAUACAUCGCAGGAGAACAUGUGUUUCACAAAUGCCGUCAUUGUUUUCUGAAACAGAAAGGCUGGUCGAAAAGCGGAGCUGGAAAAGCACGACCCCCCAUUUUGUGCGUGGUAGGCUCCUCUUGACAUUAUGCACUGACGUGAAAGGAUAUGGCUUUCCUGCUGACUUCAGCGAGAGAAAACAAAGAGUUCAGCCUGAGACCGAGAAAUUGCUUCAUAAGAAAACCAUCUGUGUUGAGAGAGAUGGACUAAGCAGCUGGAUCCCUGCCAUACUGUCUGGGGGAAUAUGGUUGUUCUGGACAAGAGGAACAAUGGGAGCAGAAUGGCUGAUAUAUGUGUGCACACAGUUUUCCCCUCUUCAUCUCUCUGGAUGACUGCAGUGAGGUGAAGAGUCUGUGUUUUACCAUCAAAGGUCAGCCCUCCAGGAUGUGUGGAAGCUGCAGUGUGGCCCCUGCAUGCCAGUCUACUGAAGGAUACACUUAGGGCUGGGUCUGGAGAAGGGUGAUGUGGUAGGUGUGGAGGUGCUCCAGCACUCUUAGACUCUGGAGGGUAAACAGAGUCCUUGCAUGUACAGUCAGAAGGAAUUUGUACAGAGCACUAGUCUGCUUCCUGAAAGCCAUCAAUAAGCUGAGUAGGUCUGAGUGAAAAUUUCCCAUCCAAUGGAAAACUGGAUAUUUGACAAAGUAUCCCUUCACUUUUUGCAAUGAGUGUGUGCUUUCUACAGAAAUUUGAAUGUUUCCUUUAAGAAGCAUACGCUCU